rnacentral:rRNA from 1 species
CUUUCCAGAGAUGGAUUGGUGCCUUCGGGAACUCUGAGACAGGUGCUGCAUGGCUGUCGUCAGCUCGUGUUGUGAAAUGUUGGGUUAAGUCCCGCAACGAGCGCAACCCUUAUCCUUGUUUGCCAGCGAGUAAUGUGGGAACUCCAGGGAGACUGCCGGUGAUAAACCGGAGGAAGGUGGGGACGACGUCAAGUCAUCAUGGCCCUUACGAGUAGGGCUACACACGUGCUACAAUGGCGCAUACAGAGGGCAGCCAACUUGCGAAAGUGAGCGAAUCCCAAAAAGUGCGUCGUAGUCCGGAUUGGAGUCUGCAACUCGACUCCAUGAAGUCGGAAUCGCUAGUAAUCGUGGAUCAGAAUGCCACGGUGAAUACGUUCCCGGGCCUUGUACACACCGCCCGUCACACCAUGGGAGUGGGCUGCAAAAGAAGUAGGUAGUUUAACCUUCGGGGGGACGCUUACCACUUUGUGGUUCAUGACUGGGGUGAAGUCGUAACAAGGUAGCGCUAGGGGAACCUGGCGCUGGAUCACCUCCUUAAACGAUGAU